UCUUAUGGAUAAGAAAGAAAGUGGUUUCUUGAGAUGGAAUCUACUCCUGGUGAAGAUGGUGUGAA
rnacentral:pre_miRNA from 1 species